CUGGUUCUCCCCGAAAGCUAUUUAGGUAGCGCCUCGUGAAUUCAUCUCCGGGGGUAGAGCACUGUUUCGGCAAGGGGGUCAUCCCGACUUACCAACCCGAUGCAAACUGCGAAUACCGGAGAAUGUUAUCACGGGAGACACACGGCGGGUGCUAACGUCCGUCGUGAAGAGGGAAACAACCCAGACCGCCAGCUAAGGUCCCAAAGUCAUGGUUAAGUGGGAAACGAUGUGGGAAGGCCCAGACAGCCAGGAUGUUGGCUUAGAAGCAGCCAUCAUUUAAAGAAAGCGUAAUAGCUCACUGGUCGAGUCGGCCUGCGCGGAAGAUGUAACGGGGCUAAACCAUGCACCGAAGCUGCGGCAGCGACACUAUGUGUUGUUGGGUAGGGGAGCGUUCUGUAAGCCUGUGAAGGUGUACUGUGAGG
rnacentral:rRNA from 1 species